GGGUGGGGAAGAAGAAGAGAAAUCUUGUUCCUUAAAACCUCAACCCCUUUCGAGCUCUCUCCGCGUUUCAAGGGUACCACAGCGCUCCGUGACGAUGCGUAGGCGUGUCCGGACUCCAACUUUUCAUUCGUUUUAGUGCGUCGAUCUGGUUGAAGUCCGCUCUCAUCCACCUCCCUCGGUCCCUCCACGCGCUCCUCCGCUUCGCCUUCUCCCCCUCUUCUUCGCCAGCCGCCGCGCUCCCGCCUUCGUGCUACGGCCUUUCCUCGACGCCGUUCGCUCCGUCGACGCCGACGCCACCAUCACCUCCAUCUCGCGCUACUACAGCUCGUCCCUCGGCUGCCUCACCUCUGCGUUGCCUUUGAGAAUGAGGUACUCACCUCUGCGCCUCCAUGGCGCCUGCCCAUGCCUACUCCUCCCCGUCCUCCUCGACCUCCUGUCUCCGAGCUCCUAUACAGCGGACACCAGCUCCUGCGUCGAUGUGCAGGGGGCCCUGGCGAGACCUAGAGGGGGCCAUGUCACCAAGCGCAAGCCACGCUCGUUCGGCGCCCGCGGACCACCUACAUCACGACCGGCCCCGCUAAGUUCCAAAGCAUGGUGCAGGAGAUCACCGGCCUCCCCUUCCCUGCCCCCCUCCUUCUCCGCUGCCUUGGAGGCUGCCACCGUCGUAGCGCCCAAAUGGAUGCCUGCGCACGCGUGUGUGCUCCUGAACUGAACCUGGACACGUCCGCUUUCUCCCUGCUUGACCGUGCCCUGGUGAGCUCGGGGGCCAUCCGAUGAGUAUGUUUACACCUUCAAUCAUUGAUUUUAUUUUGUGUUAACAUGUCAAGCAUGUAGGAAAAGCUAAAUCUAAAUCAACAUUCUUCACACAAACUGUCUUUAUCGAUUCAUGGACAAAACAAACAACAUUGUAUAUAGUAACAGGUACACAACAGUGGGAUUCAUCUUUGCAGUAGAUAUGUUAAUAAAUUUGUGCGGUGUCUAAUCCCCGUACCCUUUUUUAAUGUCUUGGUUAGAUUUCGUGUCAGGAGGGAGUGUGUAUGAUUACCGCCAUAAAAAUUGUAAUGCUACCAGGUUUCCUGAAAUACUAAAGUGGUGACCGACGCCACUAAAAAGUAUUUGGAAUAUAUUUUGCAGGAUGUAAAGGUUUCAUAAGUCGGUGUUGCACGUGUGGAAGACCAAUCUAGAGUGAUGACUGUACAAACUGAAACUUAGAUUUGGAUGGCACCUGAGGUGCACCGUCAUGAAUAUGUAUUUCAGAAGAAAAAAAUGCAUAUUUUGCCUUUUCUUAUAUUCCAUGUUAUUAUUGAAAUUUCAGGUCAUAGAACAUAAGCCCUACGAUCGUAGAGCAGAUGUUUUUAGCUUUGCUAUUGUUCUAUGGGAACUGCUAACCCACAAGGUACGGAUGUGCUAAUAGCUUGGCCCUUUGUUAGAAUUAAGACUCCAUUGGCACUGUCCUUCAAUUUAUUUAUUGUUUUUAGCUUACCUUAGCUUGUCAUUUAAGGCUCCAACUAUUAUUUGUCUUGAAUAUACUAGAAUAUAUUAUUCUUUGUCUUGAGCUACCUGCUUACCAUGUUGUCUCUUUUCAGAGUUCUUAAGAUCGACCCAUUUUUUUAUUUCACAUUCCACUUUUACUAUAAGACAACAACACUUUGUGUGGUUUCAGAGUUCUUAAGAUCAACACACCUACUUUUGCACAGGGAGUUACAGACUAAUCAACAGAUCUAUGUGGUUGUAGUGACGAUGCUCCUCCAAAAUUAGAUAUACAAUUUGAUCUAAGCAGUGAACCUGCAUGUUCACUUCACUUAGAAGCAUAGUACCAAACUUAUAUAAGCAAUACUGUCUAGGAUUGGUAGACCUUUGACAGCCAGCUCUCGACUAAACCAGUUAGGACCCUUGUGAAGUGUGAUGAGCUCACCCUAGAGGUAAAAUACCGUUGAGAGUUAUGCUUUGAACUAUUUUGGUGCCUUUUUGGCUACUAAGUUUUUUAGUGUCAUGUUUGUAGGGUAUCAAACAAUUCUUUGUUGCUGUUAAGAAAGAGGAGUGAAAGUUUGAUACGCUUUGUGAUCUUUAGGACCACCUACGCCCAAGCGUUCGGGACUUCGGGGUGGAUCUCGAGCUUCCGCUUGCUGCGAACCAGAGAGCCACGGUAGAGCGAGCUCAACAAGAACCACUUUGGGGCCAACAUUGUCGUAACAAGAGGGCCCCUAUCGUGUCAUGAUGGAAGCUAUCCUCCAUAUUAUGCUGCUAAUAUAACAUCUACAUAUUUUUUUACUGUAAGAACCCUCAGUGUAGGCUCCAAGCGCAUGAUGAGAAGGAUGUCUACAAUAGAAGAGUGAAAGGGGGACCAGAAGAAUAAUCAGAAGAUUUUACGAAACCAAAACACAAAGGCAUAGCAAGUCAGAUCGAGAUUGAGAAUCCAAGCCUGGUGAAAACUAAGAAUGUAAAGGUCAAGGACAUUGAUGUAUGUGGGACACUCGGUGCUUGUUUCUUAUGCAGUCAAACAUAAUAUAAUAUUUUCCCAGGAAUGAUGAUGUUGUUAGACAUGUACGCAUAAGUCUGUUGCUUUAUUAGGAAGACAAUUUACUUGUGCACUAUAUACAUUAUUAAGCAAAGGUAUGAUGUUGUGCCAA